ensembl:lncRNA
AUGGACAUUGAAAAGCAUGUAUGCUGUGCCUUUGGGUGGAGAGUUCUGUGAGGGUUGGUUAGAUCCUGUUGGUUGAUGGUUGGUUGAUGGCUGUUGCGUUCCUCUUUACUUGUCAUCUAUAUCCACAAAUUGGCUGAGACCUUUCACUGGGGACCACACCUCCUGCCUCUCCUCUCCAUGCAGCCACCUCCCUGGACCCCAGAGACUGUUUCCUCCCUCACCCUUCCAGACCUAAGGAGUCCACAGCUGUCUGAUCUUCCCAGCACCAGGACACUGGGAUCUCUAACCCUGUCCCCAGAGUUGUAACUUUCCUCAGUGACCCCGUUUUCUGUGCCAUCUGUUUCCUGCUGUGGCCUCAUCAUGUGAUCUGUAGCCCGGAGGGCUACUGCCCUUACCCAGCACCCCUAAGGGGGAGAUUCCCACCAAAAAUGAGCUCACAGAGUGAAACAGGUUUGGGCUGGAAUAAAAGGCAUAACUGAGGCUUCCAUUUCCACUUAGAAUGCAGAGAGCUGCAAAGAACAUCACUCCCGAGCUAACAGUGAUAAAAGUCGAUAAUCCUCAAAAGCGUCAGAGAGAUGAGUCACGAGGAACAAAGUAAACUGAAUUCCAAAAAGGAACCAGCCCCUGCAAGGAGAGAGAAGUCGCACGAACUGUUUCAUCUUUGACAGGGCAGAGAAGAAAGAGGGGCCACCAGAUAAAUGGAUAAGAAAGACUCAGCUAAAUUUUAAUUCUUAAAAGGUUGAUGAAACGACACUGGGGGAGAGGUGGGGUCCCACACAUAUAGGGGAGUUUGCAGUCACUUGCAAGUUCUCUGCCUUGGCCACCACCAACUGCUGACAAGAAAGAUGGGAAACAGGACAUCAGAGAGAGUCCUCUGUGUGACGUGGGUGUGCAUGACGUGAUUAGCGGCUCCUGGGGGCAGCUGCAAGCCCCACAUGCAUCCUGGACUCUUUUGGUAGAGGCAGAGGGGGACGCACCAAACCCUCGUGCCCCUGGGGCAUAAGCAAAGGUCCAGUGGUUCUCGGGGAGGGUUAAGAGCUUGGAGAGGGACCCCCUCUGUGGGGCAGACAUGCAGGGACUGCUAAACACUGAGAGGAACACAGGAACCCUGAGAAGAACCCUCCGCUGCAGCCCACAGCUGGAGGAAUUGGAAGUCUGUGGUGCUAAGAUAACCAUCGCAACCACAAACCCAAACCAGCUGUGCUCCUGACCAGAUGCACCAGUGCCCCACACUAAGCCCUGCAGAAGAUGAGCUGCACGGACUUCCUGGCCCAGGGGGUUCUGGCUGCUUGUGCUACCCAUUACCAAGAAAGCAGCAUAGAGGUCUCCAGCUGUAAUUAUGGAUUUAUUUCAACAUUCACUUCUUUCACGGUUUUCUUCGUGUCUUUUGAAGCUCUGUUGUUACGACAUACACAUUUAGGAUGGUGAUGUCUCCUUGAUGGCUUGACCCCUUCAUCUUUAGGUAAUGUCCUUCUUUAUCCCUAAUAACUGUCCUUGCACUGAAAUCAGCUUUGUCUGAUAUUAACAUCAACUCUCCAGCUUUUCUUUCUCUAUUCGUGUCUGCACAGUCUAUCUUUUUCCAUCCUUUUACCUUUAACCUACCUACAUCUUUAUAUUUAAAGUGGCUUCUUUUAAACAGCAUAUAGAUAGAAAAUAGCAUUCAUAACACAUGAAACAGGAUACCAUUUUUUAAAGAAGCAGAAUUUUUUUAACACAAACAAAAUUUUAGAUAUAUUUGUUAUGAUUCAUAGCAACAAAAUUUAACAUAAGGAUUACACCGUAGACCAGAUUCAGCUGAAGGGAGAAUUAAUGAACUGGAAGGUAAAUCUGUGGCACAGGGAGAUAAGGUUGAAAAAUACUAAAGAAAACUUUAGACGAGCAAGAUAGAAUGAGAAGCUCGAACAUAUAUUUUCUAAGAAGGAGAGAACAGAGAGCAUGGAAGAGGCAAUAUCAAAGAUAAAAGAAUUUUCCAGAGUUGGGGGAAAAAGACCCAUAAAACUGCUCUCACUGGAUGUCGCAUUUGGCUGCUAAUUAUAAAAAAUCAAAGUGAGGGUGGUUUAAACACGAUAGAGGCUUAUUUUCUCUCUUGUUAAGAAGUCUGGAGACAGGCAGCUGUAAGUUGAAAUCAAAAUAAGCCUCUUGUCAGGCUCACAACUUCUCAAGGACCUGGGAGCAUCUCUUUGAAAUGUAAUCAUCGAGGCAGAUAAUGUCCCAUCCCGGUGUCUUGGGAGGAGGUGGCCUGACUUCAGCUGGCGCCUGACUAAAUUGCAGACCCUACCUCCAGUCGUGAAGCUAUGAGAAAUCGAGCAGUUUCCUCUCGGAGUCACGGCUAUCGCAGGUCGUAGCUGCUUAGCUACAUACAAGAGUCAGCUCCCUGUCUGUCGCUUCAGCCUCCGAGCAGCCCGCCAGUGAUGCACGUCACGUUCUAGCCCAGUGCUUAGUCAAUAAUCAAAUUGCUUUCUUUCUCUCCUACUCUUGUGGAGAUGUUUUCUGGAUGGGGAGGAGAUUUUGUUUGUAAUUCUGUUUCCCCAACACAGUUCUGGAUGGCAGAGCAGCUGCCCCUUUGAGCAGAGCUCGAGGUCCUUUUGUGUUUCUGCUUUGACAUCCUUAACACCUGGCAUCGUGGAAAUAAAUGAAACCCACCUGAAUGUGAAAAGAAAAGGGACUUUUCCAGAGCUGACUAUCGCAAGGGGGUCAGCCACCAUCACUUGCAUUGGGUGGAGACUCAGGCAGGCGGAGGAGGAGGAGACCUUAAUAGCGGAAGAGAGGGGAGGCUCAGGGGUGCCCUGAGGGAGGCUGGGGAACCGGCGAAGCUGUGGGUGGCUCACCAGAAGCAGGCAUCGUAUGUGACUGGUUAGGGGAGCAGAUUCAGCUUUUUCUGAUUGGUCCUAAAUUGGAAGCAGGGGAAAAAAAUUAAAGAAGCUAUUGUUAUUUUAUUAAUAAUAAAAAUUAUUAACCAAGUCCUGGAUAUUUUGGGCCAAUUGCUACAGGGGUUAUCAUUUGGCCUCCUGAACCAGUUCCUAGAGAUAGCAGUCUGAAUUCCUACCCAUCUGCCUGGCUACUAUGGAUAAUAGGUUGGUUUCCUGGGCUGGUUGCCGCAGCUUGUGCAUCAAAGUUCUAUUUGAUACAUGUCCUGGCCAUUGUCCAUUGGUGUAUUCAGUCUUUCAUCAUCCGUCAUCAAGUUCACCUCGUGGUCCCAAUAUGGCUGCUGCAAAUCCAGCCAGGAUGACUACGUUCCAGGCAGAAAGAAGGUAAGCAGAAGGGCAAAGAGCAUGCCUCCCAGGUGAGUCCCUUUCCAGGACUUUUUUAUGAGGUUCCACCCAAAUACAUUUGCUUAGAUCUCUCCAACCUUCAGGGAGGCAGGGAACUGCGAUUUGUUUACUGGGCACAAGGAUGCGCUCCCCCAAAAAAGAGCCCCUCUGUUAAAGGAAAAGGAGAAAUGGACACUGAACAGGCAACCGCAACCUCUUUCACACCUUCACAUUGAAAAAGUGGAAGAAUAAAUCUAUUUUUUCUAAAAAAACAUAUUUAUGAAAAAUACAUUACUGAAUGCACUCUUGAAUUUAGUCUUCAAUAUGAAAUAUUUGUCUUAUGACAAUUAUUUUAAUAAAGAACUGGUUGAUCAGAACUCUUCAUAGUCAAGGUUAUAUGCUUAAAAUGUACUCCCAGUGCCUUCUCAACACCCCCCUCCAUGUCCCUCCCUCUCAACGGCGCUGAGGCAGAGACGAAAGAGCGGUGUGAACACGCUGAUAUGAACACAAAUUGAAAACUGUUCAACUAAAACGAAUUAAUUCAAAGAAACAAUAAAUUCAGAGAAUCGGUCAUUUGGCAAAUCGGUUCUUCAGAGAACUGGCUUUUAGCGAUUGCCUGUGAGCAAAGAGAAACGAAGAAAUGAAGCGGAGGCUGAGACACCACUGCGUUCGGGAGACCGUGUUCUGAAAUCCAAGGAAAUGGGUCCUUUGCACACUUGAGACCGAGUGGGCUUUCAAGAUGGGCCCCUUGGCAGCCUGGGGAGCAGGAGGAGCCUUGCUGGGAACGCUGUCACGGGAGGAAGGGGCAAGGACAGGGGCUGCAAGCCUUCUCGGCAGCUCUCUGGGACCAGCGGCAUUUCACCCGCAAUCGCAGUUCUAGGAAACGAGGGCGACCAUUGUGUGCAUUUCCUUCCCCAGUGAAGGGUCCAGACGCUGCAAACAUGCACGUAGGCCCACACACGUACGUGCACACACACACGCACAUACAUGCACGCUCACACCGCAUGCACACACAAACCCUCCACUUGCCUUUCCUUCCCUGGGGCUUUCAAUUUUCUCAGCUGCUAGGAGUGGGGGAGAAGCUGCUUUCCAUUUUUGCUCCGUGGAAUUUGCUCCACACUUUCCUUGCCCACAGCCCCAUCUGCACGGCCUGCCUCCCCAAAAAUGAGGUGCCACUCCCUGCCUGACCUGAGGAACACACAGGAUCCUCCUGCCACCACGUCUUUCUGCAGAAAACUCUUUUUAAAAAUUCCUCCAUCAGAAAGUCACCUUACCAUUAAGGAAGUGUCCAUCAUUAAAAUGCAAAAUGGGAGGAAGGAAGGUGCUUGGAGCGGUGACUCCCAAUCCUCAAAGAAAAAAUGGAAAGUGCCUCUACUCCCUUCUGGGAGACCAGAAAAAGGAAGACCCGGGGAGGAGGGGAAGUUUUGCCCGCUCCUGCUUUGAUUGCAUUGUCGGGAGCAAGAAUAGUUGGAAGGAAGAAUAGGAAAUUAUUGAAUCGGUGGCUUUUUAAUGGUAAAAAGAAAAAAAGCGGAUGCCUCCUUGACAGUUUAAUGGGAAUUUGUCCUCUGAUCUCGGCUGACUGCAACUGACAAGAAAGGGUUUCGAUUCCGGAGGGAGAGCCCCUAUCGCUGUGCAAGCUGGAAAGGGCCAGAAACUGCUUUUCUUCACACGCCCUUGAGGAGAAUCUCUAGGAUGCUCAGGGGGGUGAGAAGGGGCCCCGCGGCCGUGAUGAGGAGGUGCUUGAAUAGAAGGUGAAAAUGGGCUCCCACGGCCCGGGACAUAGGCCACCCAUGGGGCAGCAAUUUCCCCUGGACCAGCAGGGCCUCUGAGCUUUGCCUCUGAUGCCACAUAGUCAGGUGCAAAUUUGGGAUCUAUUUUUGCUUAAGCUCCUGGGCCUCAGCUGCCCUGCUUUAAAAGACCUCUGUCUGGUCGUGAGGAUUAAACAAGAGUGGAUCACCAGUGGCCAAUGAUGUAAUCAAGCAGGCCCAGGGAACCGAGCCUCCAUAAAAAUCCCUGGGCAAACAGGUUCAGAGAGCUGCCGGUUGGUGAACGCGUCCACCCCAGUUCCACGGGGACAGGAGCUCCUGGGCUCGGGGCCCUUCCGGACGUCGCCCUGGGUACCACUUCAGCUCUAUCCUUUAUGAUAAACUGGUAAAUGUAUCUAACAGUCCCUGUGAGCCAGUGACCUCAGAACACUGGGCUAAGAGAUGUCCGGCCCUGGAACCACGGGCUUAUGGGAAUUCUCAUUUCGUGUGGUCAUCCCUGCUCACGCUGAUCCUCCGAGAGGACCCGGGGGGACACGCCUUCCUGCCCAUCCUGACGUGCCAGGUCCUCGCACAGGCUCCUUUCCCUCCGGACAUCUUCCUUCUCCAGUCAAGUCAGCACAAAAACAGCCCAGAGGAGCCAUGAAAACCGCUUUAUUAUUUCAGUUCUUUCAUUUCUUUGUUACAGACUUGGAACCAGCAAAACAUAAACUAAAUGUCAGGCUUGCAAUUUUCUGCUUCAAAAAUUGGCAAAUCCCACUGUGAAUCCUAGAGAGCACCACUUUGCUUUUGUUUCAUGGGUAAAAAGCCAGGCUCGGGGGGGAAAUGACUAAACGGCUCUUGACGUGGAACUCCCUGUCCUCCCACACGUCCGCACCCAUGAGCCCCUCACCGCCGCGCUUGCUUCUGUCCUCGGUCCCACACUCUGUGUCCCCCCCUAACAGGCCGUUUUAAAGGUGGGGAGAGUGGAGGAAACCUUCCUGAACACAACACCCAGCAGUCAUAAACGAAAAGAUGGAUAAAUGUGACUGCAAAAGUCUGUAUUAAAGGGGCUGGCCCCGUGGCCGAGUGGUUAAGUUUGCGCGCUCCGCUGCAGGCGGCCCAGUGUUUCGUUAGUUCGAAUCCUGGGCGCGGACAUGGCACUGCUCAUCAAACCACGCUGAGGCAGCGUCCCACAUGCCACAACUAGAAGAACCCACAACGAAGAAUACACAACUAUGUACCGGGGGGCUUUGGGGAGAAAAAGGAAAAAAUAAAAAAUCUUUAAAAAAAAAAAAAGUCUGUAUUAAAAAGAAAACAUUUAAAAAAGCCAAAAGUCAAAUUGGAAGAAAACUGCAAUUCACAUAACAUGAAGGGACAGAAAGAUUACCUUCAAAUCAACCCGCCACCCCAAAAAUACUGAGGGGCAACUGGGCCAAGGACAGCGAAAGGCAGGUCAAAGAAGAGGCUCGACCUCCCUUAUCACGGAGACACGUAAAUUAUAACUGCAGUAAGGACUUCUGCUCCGACCGCUGGAGGCACGAUGGCCUGGAAUUACCCUCCCGCCAUAACCUGCUGGAGAGCUGGCGGCACAGGUCAGUGGUCCCUAUGCCAAGGCAGACACGUCCCCGAUGACUCGUGUCUAGAAGUAAUGCUCUGCCUGCAGCCCAGCGAGGGCGAGCCCAAACGGAGCCUGACAACCUCCUGCGUGCAGAUGGAGACUGGACGUUGGGACCGAGCGCCUAAGAGGGAGCUGACAGAUGAGAGAAGUCUGCUGGGGUCCUCUUGGGUCUCUGGUCAAGUAUCACCCUGGACACAUGUGGGUGACACCCCAUGAGGACAGAGAGGGCCUUUUGAGGAAAGAACAAGCCUCAGACCUGGGAAUCAUUUGAGUCCCAUCCAGCCGGCGUGGAGAGACUGAACAGCGGCUCAGAUCCACCCGAACAAGCUCGCAAACCAACCUCAGGAGGAUCCACUUAAUCCACAGUAGCUUAGCUGCCUGCCAGCAAGGGCGAAACACUGUUUAAAGCAAUAGAAUAAGACUCAGCAAUCAAUCACGAAGACUUCACAGUAUCAGGCGCCCCAUCCAAAACUUUCAGACACACUCAGUAGCUGAAGAAUGUGUGCCAGUAAUAGAAGACAAAGCAGUCCACAGAGACAGAUCUGGAACGACAGAGAUGAUGGACUAGCAGGAACGGAAGCCAUUAUUUUCUACAUGCUCCAUCUGCUCGAGGAUUUUUUUUUUAAUGAACAUGGUCAGAAGAGAAAUGGAAGACAUUUUUUAAAAGACC